GACGAAGGGGGCUAGCGUUGUUCGGAAUUACUGGGCGUAAAGCGCGUGUAGGCGGUUGUUCAAGUCAGGUGUGUAAAGCCUUGAGCUCAACUCAAGAAAUGCACUUGAUACUGGAUGACUAGAGGACCGGAGAGGAUAGUGGAAUUCCCAGUGUAGUGGUGGAAAUACGUAGAGAUUGGGAAGAACACCAGUGGCGAAGGCGGCUAUCUGGACGGUUUCUGACGCUAGACGAAAGCGUGG
rnacentral:rRNA from 1 species